UUUAAAAUGAGAGUUUGAUCCUGGCUCAGGACGAACGCUGGCGGCGUGCCUAAUACAUGCAAGUCGAACGAAACUUUCUUACACCGAAUGCUUGCAUUCACCGUAAGAAGUUGAG
rnacentral:rRNA from 1 species